rnacentral:lncRNA from 1 species
AAAAAGCCUAAAGUAUAAAGGUAGCCAUGCCAACACUAACAAGUUCUAGAGGACAGCCAUUCAGCCCACUCUAGCAGGUUAAGGAUGUUUCUAAUUGUUUAGUAUAAACUUUAUUUAGUUAAAUCAUCAAAACUUCUGUCUUGUAUCAAUAUUUUGUUUCGCUGUGCACUCAUUCAACUCUUAAAUUGAAAUUUGCAGCAAUACUUCAAGGUGGUAAUUUCCUUGGUUCAGUCCAAGAGGAAAUUGGUAAGUUCUCACAAAUUAAUAAAAUGUAUGUCUUUGUAUAUUUUUAAUUUUAUUGCUAGAUGUUCUUGUAAAUUUCAUUGUGUUGGAUCUAUACAUGAGAGGGAGAAGAGAGGUUUGUGCAAGAGGAAAAAUGUUACUUUUGACUUUCCCUGUGUGGUUCAGCUGACUCUCAGGUGCGUUUCACAUAGUUAAUAAAAUUGUUUAGUAGUUGGUGCCUUAUGGCCGUGUUCUUAGUUAUUUAGUUGGUUUGCUUGCUAUGCUUGUUUUCGUUUAUGCUAUACUACCAGUAAGCAUCUCGAAUUGCUGAUUGAUGUUGUCUCAACUUUGGACAAGCAGCUCCCUUGAAAGGUCAGCUUGAUAACCCAGUUUAUAGUGCAAUAACCUGGUUUCAGAGAUGUCAUUCUGUUAUUCCUAGUUCAUUUAAUGUGUUCAAGGCACAAUGAUAUGAUAGUCUUCAUGGCACAAGUGUGACGUCUUAGGGUAAGCAAAAUUAUUUUGAUGAUCUUAGGGGUAGGGAUUUGGGACGAAAUUUGGAAAAACUUUUGAUUUAGGGUUCGGAUUUUGGGAUUUUGGGGAAGAACAGGAUCUUUGAGAUCAAGACUGAUUUGACUUCCCUUCCUAUACAUCUACAUGUAGGUUAUUUUGCUUUCCUGUUCUAUUUAGAGAGUAUAUGUUUUAUCAUAUGCUAAGGUAAAUCUUUAUUAUAUAUGAUGCGCUUGUGUUGGCAUGCUUAGAUCGUAUCCAUAAUUUAGAGAGCAUAUGUUAGUCAUAGCAACGUACAUAUGAUUCCAUUCUCAUUUGUCUACAGGGAGGAAAUUGUGAGGCCAAAUGCAAUUAGUUUUUCUGCGCGACUACAGCAACCACUGAAUUCCGUAGGGUGAGUGAAGCUUCCUUUCUUCAAUUACCUUUUGCCAUAAGGACUACUCUAAACUUUGGUGUCUAUAUGAUGCAAUGUCCUGUUCUAUUUUCCAAUACUAGUGUUUUUUUGUUGUCUAAAAAUAUAUCUUUGCUUAACAGGUAUCUUUUGAUCUUUAAAAUUGAUACUGCAAUUUCUGAUACAGUGUGGGAUGGAGCAUUAUGGUUCUGAAUCCCAUCUGUAGUUGCUAAUGAUAAAACCUAUACUCUUGUGCUAUUCAUAUGAGAAUGUUUAUCCCUACUCUAGUUCUACAGAGAAUUUGGCUAUGAUUGCAUAACUGUUUUUGUGUUCUGGAUACAACCAUUACGUUAUUGUAGUUUGCUCCCAUUGCAGUUAAAAACCAACAGUUUAGCUGCUCAUCCAUGUCAACAAGCACGAAGGUAAUUUAUGACUUAGUUUAAGACUAGAUCUAAUUCGUGACUGAAUUUUAGAUGCAGUACCUGGUUAUUGGCAGGUGGAGAUUGCACAUGCCUAUGAGAAGAAUAGCGUGGCCUGCUUCAGCAUCUGAUCGAUGAGAAGCACUUCCAGCGGACCUUUGAGAUGAGAACUAGUAUUGUAAAAGUGCUCAUGGUGGCUAUUUUUGAACAAUUUUGUUAUGCAAGCAAAUCAUAUGAGUUGUAUUAUGCAAGCUACCCUCUUAGUUUUGUAGCUACUUGUGUGUAGCUUGCUUAUUGCCUUUGUAUUUUCUA